rnacentral:rRNA from 1 species
UACGAGAAGGCAGCUACACGGUGACGUGAUGCUAAUCCCGAAAGCCUCUCUCAGUUCGGAUUGGAGUCUGCAACCCGACUCCAUGAAGCUGGAUUCGCUAGUAAUCGCGCAUCAGCCACGGCGCGGUGAAUACGUUCCCGGGCCUUGUACACACCGCCCGUCAAGCCAUGAAAGCCGGGGGUACCUGAAGUGCGUAACCGCAAGGAGCGCCCUAGGGUAAAACUGGUGAUUGGGGCUAAGUCGUAACAAGGUAAC